AAACUUGUGCUAAUACCGAAUGUGCCCUUCGGGGGAAAGAUUUAUCGCCUUUAGAGCGGCCCGCGUCUGAUUAGCUAGUUGGUGAGGUAAAGGCUCACCAAGGCGACGAUCAGUAGCUGGUCUGAGAGGAUGAUCAGCCACAUUGGGACUGAGACACGGCCCAAACUCCUACGGGAGGCAGCAGUGGGGAAUCUUGCGCAAUGGGCGAAAGCCUGACGCAGCCAUGCCGCGUGAAUGAUGAAGGUCUUAGGAUUGUAAAAUUCUUUCACCGGGGACGAUAAUGACGGUACCCGGAGAAGAAGCCCCGGCUAACUUCGUGCCAGCAGCCGCGGUAAUACGAAGGGGGCUAGCGUUGCUCGGAAUUACUGGGCGUAAAGGGAGCGUAGGCGGACAUUUAAGUCAGGGGUGAAAUCCCGGGGCUCAACCUCGGAAUUGCCUUUGAUACUGGGUGUCUUGAGUAUGAGAGAGGUGUGUGGAACUCCGAGUGUAGAGGUGAAAUUCGUAGAUAUUCGGAAGAACACCAGUGGCGAAGGCGACACACUGGCUCAUUACUGACGCUGAGGCUCGAAAGCGUGGGGAGCAAACAGGAUUAGAUACCCUGGUAGUCCACGCCGUAAACGAUGAUUGCUAGUUGUCGGGAUGCAUGCAUUUCGGUGACGCAGCUAACGCAUUAAGCAAUCCGCCUGGGGAGUACGGUCGCAAGAUUAAAACUCAAAGGAAUUGACGGGGGCCCGCACAAG
rnacentral:rRNA from 1 species